AUACGGAAGGUCCGGGCGUUAUCCGGAUUUAUUGGGUUUAAAGGGAGCGCAGGCGGAGAUGCAAGCGUGACGUCAAAUUUCGGGGCUCAACCCCGUCUCGCGUCGCGAACUGCGUCCCUUGGUUGCGGGAAGGGGAGGCGGAACUCGCGGUGUAGCGGUGAAAUGCAUAGAUAUCACGAAGAACUCCGAUCGCGAAGGCAGCCUUCCGGCCCGUCAACGACGCUCAUGCUCGAAGGUGCGGGUAUCAAACAGGAUUAGAUACCCUGGUAGUCCGCACAGUAAACGAUGGACACCCGCGGUUUGGCCUGUAUGGCUGAGCCGCCAAGCGAAAGCGUUAAGUGUCCCACCUGGGGAGUACGCCGGCAACGGUGAAACUCAAAUGAAUUGACGGGG
rnacentral:rRNA from 1 species